UACGUAGGGUGCAAGCGUUAAUCGGAAUUACUGGGCGUAAAGCGUGCGCAGGCGGUUUUCUAAGUUUGGUGUGAAAUCUCCCGGCUUAACUGGGAGGGUGCGCCGAAAACUGGAAGGCUGGAGUAUGGGAGAGGUAAGCGGAAUUCCUGGUGUAGCGGUGAAAUGCGUAGAUAUCAGGAGGAACACCUGCGGUGUAGACGGCUUACUGGACCAUAACUGACGCUGAGGCACGAAAGCGUGGGUAGCAAACAGG
rnacentral:rRNA from 1 species